GACGAACGCUGGCGGCGUGCUUAACACAUGCAAGUCGAACGGAAAGGCCCUGCUUUUGUGGGGUGCUCGAGUGGCGAACGGGUGAGUAACACGUGAGUAACCUGCCCUUGACUUUGGGAUAACUUCAGGAAACUGGGGCUAAUGCCGGAUAGAAGCUCCUGCUGCAUGGUGGGGGUUGGAAAGUUUCGGCGGUUGGGGAUGGACUCGCGGCUUAUCAGCUUGUUGGUGGGGUAGUGGCUUACCAAGGCUUUGACGGGUAGCCGGCCUGAGAGGGUGACCGGCCACAUUGGGACUGAGAUACGGCCCAGACUCCUACGGGAGGCAGCAGUGGGGAAUAUUGCACAAUGGGCGGAAGCCUGAUGCAGCAACGCCGCGUGCGGGAUGACGGCCUUCGGGUUGUAAACCGCUUUCGCCUGUGACGAAGCGUGAGUGACGGUAAUGGGUAAAGAAGCACCGGCUAACUACGUG
rnacentral:rRNA from 1 species